rnacentral:miRNA from 1 species
UGGCACUCCGUGGAACGAAACGGA